UACGGGGGGGGCAAGCGUUGUUCGGAAUUACUGGGCGUAAAGGGCUCGUAGACGGCCAACUAAGUCAGACGUGAAAUCCCUAGGCUCAACCUAGGAACUGCGUCUGAUACUGGAUGGCUUGAAUCCGGGAGAGGGAUGCAGAAUUCCAGGUGUAGAGGUGAAAUUCGUAGAUAUCAAGUGGAACACCGGUGGCGAAGGCGGCCUUCUGGACGAUGACUGACGCUGAGACGCGAAAGCGUGGGGAGCAAACAGG
rnacentral:rRNA from 1 species